rnacentral:rRNA from 1 species
CCUACGGGAGGCUGCAGUGGGGGAUAUUGCACAAUGGGGGAAACCCUGAUGCAGCGACGCCGCGUGUGGGAAGACGGUCCUCUGGAUUGUAAACCACUGUCCCCAGGGACGAAGAUGACGGUACCUUGGGAGGAAGCUCCGGCUAACUACGUGCCAGCAGCCGCGGUAAUACGUAGGGAGCGAGCGUUGUCCGGAUUUACUGGGUGUAAAGGGAGCGUAGGCGGGGAUGCAAGUUGGGUGUCAGAACUACCGGCUAAACUGGUAGGCGCACUGAAAACUGCAGCUGUUGAGUGAAGUAGAGGAAGGGGGAAGUCGUAGUGUAGCGGGGAAAUGCGUAGAUAUAAGGAGGAACACCAGGGGCGAAGGCGGCAUGCUGGG